rnacentral:rRNA from 1 species
AAAUUGAGUGGAAGGUAACAUGGAUGGAGACAAGAAAAGCUGUGUGUAUCUGGAAGGAGCCCGUACCGCAAACCGACACAGGUAGAUAGGAAGAAGAUUCUAAGGCCAGCGGGAGAAGGGUUGUUAAGGAACUCGGCAAGUUGACCCCGUAACUUCGGGAGAAGGGGUGCUUACGAAGGUAAGCCGCAGAGAAUAGGCCCAAGCGACUGUUUAGCAAAAACACAGCUCUAUGCUAAAUCGAAAGAUGACGUAUAUGGGGUGACACCUGCCCGGUGCUGGAAGGUUAAGAGGAGAUGUGAGAGCAUUGAAUUGAAGCCCCAGUAAACGGCGGCCGUAACUAUAACGGUCCUAAGGUAGCGAAAUUCCUUGUCAGGUAAGUUCUGACCCGCACGAAUGGUGUAACGAUUUGGGCACUGUCUCAACAACCUACCCGGCGAAAUUGUAGUACCGGUGAAGAUGCCGGUUACCCGCGACUAGACGGAAAGACCCCAUGGAGCUUCACUGUAGCUUAAUAUUGAAUUUUGGUAUUUCAUGUACAGGAUAGGUGGGAGACUGGGAAAUACAGGCGUCAGCUUGUAUGGAGUCACUGUUGGGAUACCACUCUUGAGGUGCUGAAAUUCUAACCUGCGUCUUUGAAUCAAGACGGGGGACAUUGUUAGGUGGGCAGUUUGACUGGGGCGGUCGCCUCCAAAAGAGUAACGGAGGCGCUCAAAGGUUCGCUCAGCAUGGACGGAAACCAUGCCAAAGAGUGCAAACGCAAAAGCGAGCCUAACUGCGAGACUGACGGGUCGAGCAGUAACGAAAGUUGGAGUUAGUGAUCCGGCGGUAUGUGAGUGGAAAUGCCGUCGCUCAGCGGAUAAAAGCUACCCUGGGGAUAACAGGCUGAUCUCCCCCAAGAGUCCACAUCGACGGGGAGGUUUGGCACCUCGAUGUCGGCUCAUCGCAUCCUGGGGCUGAAUUCGGUCCCAAGGGUUUGGCUGUUCGCCAAUUAAAGCGGUACGCGAGCUGGGUUCAGAACGUCGUGAGACAGUUCGGUCCCUAUCUGUCGUGGGCGUAGGAUAUUUGAAAGGAGCUGUCCCUAGUACGAGAGGACCGGGAUGGACGCACCUCUGGUGAACCAGUUGUCACGCCAGUGGCACGGCUGGGCAGCUAAGUGCGGAACGGAUAAACGCUGAAAGCAUCUAAGCGUGAAGCCGACCUUAAGAUAAGAUAUCCGUUCUUCGGAAUAAGACCCCUUGUAGACUACGAGGUUGAUAGGCUUAAAGUGUAAGCAUGGUGACAUGUUUAGCUUGCAAGUACUAAUCGGUCGAUUGCUUUU